UAUGGCCACAUCAAGUUGAAACACCAACUCCCCUAUUAUCACCAAAGUUAAGCAAUGUUGAGCCUGGUCAGUACCUAGAUGGGUGACUGCUUAGGAAUGUCAGGUAC